GACGAACGCUGGCGGCGUGCUUAACACAUGCAAGUCGAACGGAAAGGCCCUGCUUUUGUGGGGUGCUCGAGUGGCGAACGGGUGAGUAACACGUGAGUAACCUGCCCUUGACUUUGGGAUAACUUCAGGAAACUGGGGCUAAUACCGGAUAGGAGCUCCUGCUGCAUGGUGGGGGUUGGAAAGUUUCGGCGGUUGGGGAUGGACUCGCGGCUUAUCAGCUUGUUGGUGGGGUAGUGGCUUACCAAGGCUUUGACGGGUAGCCGGCCUGAGAGGGUGACCGGGCACAUUGGGACUGAGAUAGGGCGCAGACUCGUACGGGAGGCAGCAGGGGGGAAUAUUGCACAAUGGGCGGAAGCCUGAUGCAGCAGCGCCGCGUGCGGGAUGACGGCCUUCGGGUUGUAAACCGCUUUCGCCUGUGACGAAGCGUGAGUGACGGUAAUGGGUAAAGAAGCACCGGCUAACUACGUG
rnacentral:rRNA from 1 species